rnacentral:RNase_P_RNA from 1 species
UGAGUUAGCCAGACAAUCGCAGGGGGGAAACCUCAUGAGGAAAGUCCGAGCAUCACAGGGCAGGGUACCAGUUAACGGCUGGCGAAGGCGACUUCAGAGAUAGUGCAACAGAAAUAAACCGCAGAGUUUACUCUGCAAGGAUGGAAAGGUGGGGUAAGAGCCCACCGCACUUCUGGCAACAGAGGUGGCUAUGUAAACCUUACCUGAUGCAAGAGAGAGAGUGUUAUCGAUUGCCCGUCGGCUCUCACAAUCGCUUGAGUAUAUAGGCGACUAUAUGCCUAGACAGAUGAUUGUCAAAUACAGAACUCGGCUUAUAGA